GAUAAACGCUGGCGGCGUGCCUAAUACAUGCAAGUCGAGCGAACGGACGAGAAGCUUGCUUCUCUGAUGUUAGCGGCGGACGGGUGAGUAACACAUGGAUAACCUACCUAUAAGACUGGGAUAACUUCGGGAAACCGGAGCUAAUACCGGAUAAUAUUUUGAACCGCAUGGUUCAAAAGUGAAAGACGGUCUUGCUGUCACUUAUAGAUGGAUCCGCGCUGCAUUAGCUAGUUGGUAAGGUAACGGCUUACCAAGGCAACGAUGCAUAGCCGACCUGAGAGGGUGAUCGGCCACACUGGAACUGAGACACGGUCCAGACUCCUACGGGAGGCAGCAGUAGGGAAUCUUCCGCAAUGGGCGAAAGCCUGACGGAGCAACGCCGCGUGAGUGAUGAAGGUCUUCGGAUCGUAAAACUCUGUUAUUAGGGAAGAACAUAUGUGUAAGUAACUGUGCACAUCUUGACGGUACCUAAUCAGAAAGCCACGGCUAACUACGUGCCAGCAGCCGCGGUAAUACGUAGGUGGCAAGCGUUAUCCGGAAUUAUUGGGCGUAAAGCGCGCGUAGGCGGUUUUUUAAGUCUGAUGUGAAAGCCCACGGCUCAACCGUGGAGGGUCAUUGGAAACUGGAAAACUUGAGUGCAGAAGAGGAAAGUGGAAUUCCAUGUGUAGCGGUGAAAUGCGCAGAGAUAUGGAGGAACACCAGUGGCGAAGGCGACUUUCUGGUCUGUAACUGACGCUGAUGUGCGAAAGCGUGGGGAUCAAACAGGAUUAGAUACCCUGGUAGUCCACGCCGUAAACGAUGAGUGCUAAGUGUUAGGGGGUUUCCGCCCCUUAGUGCUGCAGCUAACGCAUUAAGCACUCCGCCUGGGGAGUACGACCGCAAGGUUGAAACUCAAAGGAAUUGACGGGGACCCGCACAAGCGGUGGAGCAUGUGGUUUAAUUCGAAGCAACGCGAAGAACCUUACCAAAUCUUGACAUCCUUUGACAACUCUAGAGAUAGAGCCUUCCCCUUCGGGGGACAAAGUGACAGGUGGUGCAUGGUUGUCGUCAGCUCGUGUCGUGAGAUGUUGGGUUAAGUCCCGCAACGAGCGCAACCCUUAAGCUUAGUUGCCAUCAUUAAGUUGGGCACUCUAAGUUGACUGCCGGUGACAAACCGGAGGAAGGUGGGGAUGACGUCAAAUCAUCAUGCCCCUUAUGAUUUGGGCUACACACGUGCUACAAUGGACAAUACAAAGGGCAGCGAAACCGCGAGGUCAAGCAAAUCCCAUAAAGUUGUUCUCAGUUCGGAUUGUAGUCUGCAACUCGACUACAUGAAGCUGGAAUCGCUAGUAAUCGUAGAUCAGCAUGCUACGGUGAAUACGUUCCCGGGUCU
rnacentral:rRNA from 1 species